CCUUCCAACCCAAAGAAUUCUAUGAUUGUGUGAUUCUAUGACUCCAUGAUUCCGUGAGUCUGUGAAAUUGCCUCAACUUGAGCCAGGGAGGUUUAGAUUGGGUAUUAGGAAAUAUUUCUUCCCUGAAAGGGUUGCCAAGCACUGGAACAGGCUGCCCAGAGAAGUGCUGGCAUCACCAUGCCUGGAGGCAUUCAAAAAAACAUGUAGAUGUGUCACUUAAGGACAUGGUUUAGUGGUGGGCUUUGCCGCACUAGGUUUACAGUUUAACUCAAUGAUCUUAAAGGUCUUUUCCAACUGAAAUGACUCUGUGAUUCUGUAUCCUUAGUCCCAUGCGCCUGAGCUGUAGGAAGGCAGGAAGGGUAAACCUCCAAGUGAAGGGACUCCAUGGAGCUCAGGGGUUCCUCUACAGCUUGUAAGCUUCCUCCAGCAAGGACUUAAGUGAUCAUAUGGAGCUGAACCUUACGAGACUAGUCGGUUUGCAGCUCUGAGGUAAUGAUACCUUUAAAAAAAGCAGCUUUGACAGGCAUAAGUAAUAUCCCUGCACUGCUGUGUGCACAUGUGUUGCAAGAAACACCUGCAGGGCAGAGUGAUGCCGUUUCAGUGCUGCACCAUCCUCCCACUUCUGCACUGGGUUCCGAACUUCCAGAUUCAGUUUUUCCACCUAUUAAGCUAGAGCCACAGCCUCCACAGCUGUGGUGAGAAGAUGUGACCUUAGCUGAUCCAGCCAGCUGCAAGAGGUGUUACGUACCCUAGAGUCUGAGAUCUACAAGCAGAUGAAGGAAGGAUCAGGUCGCAUUGCUUCCUGCCUUGCAGUAAGCCAGCUGAUGAGUAUUUGUCCCCAGGGAAGGAAGCACGCGCAGUGGGAAGGCUGCGGGUGCCAGGGGCAGAGCCAAUCUGCAGCAGAGCAGCACCUCCCAUUUGGGAGAAGAUGGACACGGAGAGGACUCACCCAUCUCUGGCAAGAUGUGAUGGUCAGGAAUCCCCAGAAAUCUCAUUUUCUGCAACAAAGGGGGAAGAAGAGACUAGAAAGCAGAAAUUACUUUAAGAGCUGCCUUCAAAUCUCUGGCAGGAGAUUUAAAUCUAAUCUCCAAUUACUUUACCUCCACAGCGCAGCUCAAAUUGCUUGUAACUGUUUCCUUUACAUCAAAGGCACAGAAACUUGAAAUAAAAUAAUAAUCAAAGCAGCAAACAAAUCAUGAAGCAAAGAAAGGGCUUCUUAAAGCAGAGAGGGAGACAGGUCUCUCCUCUUUUGCUUGAGGAGAGCCCAAAGACAGAGCCUCACAGUUGCUUACUAAAAAGUGGGGUCACAAGGGAAGGCUCUUGGCUAAAUCCUCCACCCCAAACCCACAGAGGGGUUCAGGCAAGCUUGGUUUAAAGCCAUGCUUCCAAACCAAGCUUCUUGCACUGAAAAAGAGCUGGGGGCACGGGAGAAGCACUGGCCAGCCCCAGAGGCAGCUGGGCAGAGCGUUUGCCAGCAGCUGGGAAAGGGAUCAGACACCUCUCCAGGCUGAACCUCACCCACAAUUACCCAGCUCUAAUUAGCCUGAUGGGAAACAUGAUUUUUCAUGAACAGAGUCCAAGGUGGGGAGUGUCACCAUGUCACAACUUCAGUUUGAAUCAUCGGCUUGAAAUGCGAUAGCAGCAUCAGCCAAGAAUAAAUAUUUCCACCUUUGUCUGGGAUUUGUUGUCAUCAGAUGGUGACAUGAACGCGGGAGGACCCACGGGCAUCCGAUGUGGGGCACACCAGCUUUUCAUAGAUGACCUGGUGGGAAACUGAGCUCUGAGUUAUACUCAGAAUCUGUGGGCAAUUCAUUAUCCAGCCUGCAAUAUUAAAUGUCGCACAGUGUAUACACGCCCAGCAGAAGACUGAUUGCUCUGGCAGCGAUCAGUGCACUCCUGGGAAGUUUCCUUUGCAUUAAGUGCUUUUGACACUAAUGUCGGUGCCUAAGCAAACACAUUACAAUGACUAAAACACUCGGACUGCGAGGAAUCACAGAGCACAUAUGCUGGAAACCCAGCAGCAGAUCCCGAGCAAGAGAAAAGUAACGUGCUUUUGUUUUACGGCUGGUCUUCGGUCUCUCCUGCUUUUGCACAGUUGUAAGUUGGGUUUGAUGAGAUGUUUAUGGGUGAGUCGAUACUUCCUCACAACACUUUAGUGCUAUUUAUGAAGCAGACCUAAAUAUUCUGCGCUUAAAAGUUGUGCGUGUGCAUUAUGCUUCUGUGAAAAUUAAGUGGAUUUGAGUGUGCUCUUUACAAAUAUUGGGAUAUAAACCCAUAGAGCCUGCACUCAGUAGAAUUACUAAAUGUAAGGGUAGCUGAAAUGAUAAGAAUAUCAGGUUCAUUGUGCAUACUUGGUGCCGCCACACAACACUAAAGGUUUUGUUGCACAGAUUUACAGCACAGAUAUUCCCAUUUGGAAGAAAUCGAGAUCCGAGGAAUUAUAAAGGAUGCGUGGGAGUAUUAGGCAGUUCUCCAUGCUGAAGAUGAAAAAGACUCUCACAGAAAUACUUAAUGGCCUUUGAAACAAGAAUAAAGCACGCAGGAUAUUUUUAGAAGCCCGCCUGCUCUUGCCAACACCUGCAUCUGCUGAUGGCAGAGGCUCCUGAGUGUCGACAUCCAGCACCUCUCCUUGCCGUACCCCUCUGGAGAUUUAUACAAGAUUAUCUGCUACAGCCACAAGAAAGGGGUGAGCUUGGAAUGCACAUUCUUGGCUGAAGCACGGAGCAUACCCUGACUAAAGCAUCCUGCAAAAGUUACCUUGAUAACUUCAAGGACCUUGGUUCCCCUUCUACAAACCCAGAACAUGUUUGUGCUUCAAAGAUGCCACUCUGGAACACUGGAGGUAGUCCAUAGCACGUGAGAAGGAAUGAAGUGGGAGUCGCCCAGCGAGAAUUUGACAGGUCCCUCCUUUGCCCAUCUCUUCUCUUGGUUAGGGACAUUGUAUCCUCAACUAUGUCUUCUGGUUUGGACUUCUUUCUGGAACUCCAAAUGGUGGCUGCCAUCCAAAGACACCGUACUAGUCAGUUAUGGAAAUGCUGAAGUGAUGCGAGUUAGAAUUUCUUUGGAACUCACACUUCAAAGCAGCAGAAAAAUACAGAGUGGUUCAGUGUUUUGCAUGUUUACCUGCCACUCCAAAGAAUGGUUAGAAGCAGGUUGAUAAGUGAGGGUUUGUAAUUAUUC